UCAAGCUGCUGCCGCUGCUGUCGUCUCUCUCUAUCUCUCUCACACACACACACACUCAUGGACCAUCACAUGUACAUGUAUAUACAGACAAGUACUGUGGAGUGCUGUACCCCUGUGAAACCGCGUAGGCUAUACAUCACGCUUGUGUUUGUCUGGAAAGAAAGCAUGAGAUGAAUGGUGGCGACUGCAUUCAAGACCUCAUCCUAAAGAAAGCCAUCCUGCUGUCCUUUGUCACUCAGAACAAAGUUGAGCCAGCGAAAGAAGAAGUCCACCAGUGAACGACAGCGAUGUUGUACAGCCGUUUAAAGAUCAGACGAUCAGGAGGACCCCUGGGUGACAGCAGAGUGAUGAUGACAUCAGCGAGCGGGGCUUUGAAGCGCUGAGCUACACAGGUCACAGAUCAGAGCACGGUCUUCUGGCGCUGACAGCCGGUGUGAGCGAGCGAGGCCGUCUCUGUCAGCGAUGCAGCUAUGCGGCCGUGAAGACUCCUCCACUACGGGACUAUCCACCGCUGCAGUCGUGGCCAUAGCAUGUAACGUCCUGGUAGCUGUUCUCAUAUUGGUUCUGAUACUGAUUCUCUGCAAAGCAUGCAAGGUUCCCUCCAGCCAGGAGAGCGUCCCGGUGCUGACUCCAGAGAACGCACAUCAGAGGAACGAGCAGAGGUACUUGCUUACAGCAUGAGGGAAAAAAAAUCGGAGAUGGAAAACAUGAAUUUGUAGAUGUUUCUAUGCUAUUCAUAGAGACCUGCGUAACUGAUGCAUCAUGUAAGAACACUCGAGGACGAGUCGUGAGCUGCUGGGACUGUACCUGAGCUCUCUUAUAUUGUACCACUCUGCCUGAGUGUUUUAUGGAAAGGUAAAGAGACUCUCAAUGCCCUCUUUUGAGUCAUUCAGUAGUGCCUGACGGUGUCAGUGAAACCCCACACCUGCAGCUAACCAGCUAGCAAUCAGUGUUAUGCUAAUGACCAUGCAAACAAAUAAAAAGCUCAAGUGCAAGAAUUGCAUUUUAAUAAGCGCUGAAUCGUGCUGUUUUGUGUCUGAAAGGGGAAUUUUAAUACAAAAUGCAAGUUUUAUUGUGGUUGUUUGCUUGUGCAGUGGGCCAGAGGGAUUGGUACACUAAUAACAUGCUAGCGUCUUUUCUUUUUUUGAGAAUAUCAGAGAAAAUUAAAUGGUAAAUAAAGAUUAUGAAUGUUUAAUAAAUACAUUGAAACAUCCAUCAAAAUCUUGGUCUUUUUUCAACAAUUGGUAAAGUUAUGACCUACCUUAUAGCCAUGCUGUAAGAGUAUGUUUGAUUGCGGUCACAUUUCAUGUUUAAAAAGCAUUUAAGUGUUCAAAUCUUUUUUUCCAUAGUUGUUUUUUAAAAAUAUAUUUUUGAUUCUUUAAAAAAGUAAAGUUAAAAAAAAAAACAGAUCGGAAAACCUCUAUGGAAUGUCACUAUCAAACAUCUUUUUUCUGCAACUAAGCACACUUUUCAGGGUUAGUCCAUAUCAUUUCAUGUUUAUGUGGGUACAACUGUGCAGAACUGUGCUAGCUAACCAUGUGCUGAUUAACAUCUUUGAGAUAGGUUCAAAAGUAUCUAAAAUUGUCACUACCGAAACAGUCACUGUGGAUGACUGUUAAACUGUGAAUGAAUCACUGUGAAGUCACAUGAAAUGUUGUGUCAAAAAUAAAGUAUACUGAAUUAUCUA